AUUAUUAAGCUUAAAAAGAAAGGGGGGAAAAUUUCCCAUUGCACUGAGAAUGGGAAUUUCCAAAAACCCUAGGGCUGCCCACUUGCGGCAUUUUGGUGGCCACAAAUUAGCGCAUCUCAAAUUUCACUCAAACAAUGGGCGGUGAUGCAGCGCAGCAGCUAUUCGGAAAAACCCCAUCCCAAAUUACACCCCACUUCCACCGCCGCCCCGGCCGCCGCCGCUAUCGCUACUUCCCCGUAGGCUCCACGGUCGAGGUGCAGACCGACGAGGAGGAUUUCAAGGGCGUCUUUUUCUCCGCCACCGUUCUCGCGCCGCCGAAUUCACCGAAGAAGAUCGGCCGGAAGAGGUCGAGGAAGCUCUACGUGGAGUACCACAACCUGCUUGCGCACGAGGACGGCUCGGAUCGGCUUAGGGAAUACGUCGAGCCGUCGUUCGUGAGGCCCGCGCCGCCGCUGCAGGAGGUCGUCAAGGGUUUCGAUCCGGACGACGCGGUGGACGCCUUCUACAAGGACGGCUGGUGGACGGGCGUCGUGAACCAGGCGGUCGACGACGGGAAGAGAUACGUCGUGACGUUUCACAGCCCACCUGAUGAGCUUGAGUUUGGGCUCGGAGAGUUGAGGCCACACUGGGAUUGGGUGAACGGGAACUGGGUUCGUCCUCAGAGACAGGUUUAGUAGAAAAUUUAAUGUCAAUUUUUCACUUGAAUUGUCGUUUUCUGCUAAAUUGUGUGGGAAUUGGAUUUGCAAUUUUGUGGUUGCACUUGCAUGUACAUCUGUAGUUAAUAGGGUGGGUUUUUCAUAUGAUCUUGUCUUACAUUGCUAGUCUCAUAGCAUGCAGGAUUUGCCUUUUAUUUUUUUGGGUGUCUUUAGAUUUGUUUUUACUUAUAGGCGCUAGUAAUAAGUAGCUCGCCUGUUUGUUCUCUUUCUUGGUUAGUUUGGGUGAUAAUAAUUUUCAUGUUGCAACCUAUUGUAAGCCAGCAAGAAUUCAUCCUUGGUGUUCAUUGAUUUUAUUUUAGUUAAAACCCCUAAGUUUGCUGAUAAUUGGUUUUAAGGUGAUGUUUGCUGCGACUUUACUGAUGUUCUAUUUCCUUUUUCUNAGUGAAGAAUGAUGCCCACAUGUUAGUGAGUGGAGAAAAAGACUCACAAAUUAACUAAAAUAAAUUAUGACAAUCUUUUGUAGAUAGACUAAAUGAUAAAUUAUGACAACAUUCGUGGACGGAUUGAUUAAUUAUUAUCACAUUGUGGUUUGUCAUAAUUUUAUUUUCAAUUUGUUCACAAAAAACUGUCAGUUUCAUUUAUAAUAAUAAGAUCCACACAACAAAUUCAUAUUUAAAGUGAGACAUUUAUUACGCUAAUAAUUUCAAUUAUAUUUUAUUAAAAUUAGUAUCGUUUACAGUGUAAUAAAAUUUUUAUAGACAGAGAGAAUAUGAUAUUUUCUGAUGAAAUGCCAUUAUAAUAUUGUCAUAUAAAAUAUCAUUGGAAUAUGGAGUUACAUCUAAUAUGAAAUUGAAGUAACAUACUCCUUCCGUCCAUGAAAUAACUUCUUAGGAGGGAGUGACACGAGUUAUAGAAAAAAGUUGUUGAGUGUAUUGAGAGUGAGAAAAAGUUGUUGAGUGUAUUGAGAGUGGUGAAAAUGUGUUAUAAUUAAUAUUGAGAGUUGUGAAAAAGUAAAAAGUAAGUAAUUAUAAUUGAUGGAGUAUAGUCCAAAAAUAGGUAGGAAGUUUUUUUGUGGACGUCCCAAAAGAGAAAGAUAAGAAGUUCUUUCAUGAACGGAGGGUGUAUCUUUUAAGGUGUCACACAACCUAUAUAACUAAAUAAAGUACAAUAAUGCCAAUGAGGCAUUGUUCUAGUGCAAAGUUGAAGCACCCAAAGACUCUCUUUUGUGAGAGGUUUUGGGUUCAAUCCCGCUUGCGUGCAAGUAAGGUAAUUUUUUCACUUUUGUGUAGAUAGUGGUUGCGCAUGUGUGCGGUUGUUUUUUCACCUUUGUGUGAUGUAGAGGUCUUGCCUGCAUGCGAGUUACUUAUUUGAUUAUAUAUUAGAUACCUAGUUGUAAUUCUUAAAAAAAAAAGUACUCCCUUCGUCCCAAAGGAAAUGUCAUAUUUCUUUUCGGCACGGAGAUUAAGAAAUUUGUAUAAAGCAGAUAAAGUGGGUUGGUGAAAAUUAUUUAAAUAUUAAGUAUAGAGAGAGAGUGUAUUGCCAAAAAAGGAAACGUGAUAUUUCGUUUGGGACAGCCUAAAAAGAAAAACAAGAUAUUUUGUUUGGGACGGAGGGAGUACUAUAUAACACCCACCAUAUGUUUUUUUUGAUAAUUUAACAAUAUUAAAAUAAAGAAAUUUAAAGGUCGUGUCACAUGGACUCAAACCUAAGACCUUUGACCUUUAAGCAUUAAUCUCUUACCGUUUAGCCAACAUACGCACACUAUAUGUUAAAUUGAGAAAAUUGUUACUCCCUCCGUCCAUGAAAGAACUUCCUAGGAGGGAGUGGCACGGGUUUUAAUAAAAUAUUGUAUAGUGUAUUGAGAGUGGAGAAAAAGUUGUAAAGUGUAUUGGGAAUUGUGAAAAAGUAUUAAUAAUUUAUUGUGUUGUUUUAAUUAAUGUUAUUUGAGUGGUGGGAAUUGUCUUAAAAUGGGAGUAUUGAUUUAUGUUUAAUUUACACUAUUUUAAAGGGUUUGAAUGUGUGUGUUUAAAGAUAAUCUUCUGGAAUUUGGUGCGUUUAUGGUGUAUUUUAUGCUUUGCAGGAGAUUUAGGCUCUCGAGAUGGAAGAAUGCAGUUUUGGAUGAAUUUGGAUGAAUCUAGCGUUUUCCAGAGGAACCGACAUCUCCAGAGCAGAGAAAUCACCAUUUCACUGGAGUCAGAGGAAUCAAGUCUCUAGUGCAGAGGAAUCGAAGCGAGUGCAGAAUUGCCAGAGAAGUCAAGACCUCAAUUUCAGAGGAGUCACCAUUCCUCUGAAGAAAGCCAGAGCGGAAAAUGUCAGAGGAGUUGAUUCCCCACUGACCAGAGCUGACGAAGUACCAGAGAUAUCACCCAUUCUUCUGGCGAUAGAAGAGAAUUCACCGUUCCUCUGGCAAAUGCCAGAGAGAUCAUCAUUCCGCUGGCGACCCAUUUCUCUGACGAGGUCAGGGAAAUCAUCCAUUCCUCUGGCGAGAGCUGCGAAGUCGGCGUGAGUGGGAGAGUUUCUUCGGAGUGCGCAUCUAGCUGGAGAGUUGCCUUAAUUCACACGAUUCUAUUGCCAUUAGAAUUCUACUUUGCAUGGCAACUUUUAUGGUGAUCCGAAGGAAAUCUGAAGCUUAUAAAUAGGCCUUCAUUUGACCUAUUAAAAAAAGAACCCCGAACCCUAGUAUUCAUACUUUAGUUUUUAGCUUUAGAAUUUUAUUGCUUUCUAGUUUUUAAGGCUUGGAUCAAGAUUGAAGAUUCAAGCCGCUACUUCAGUUUUUAUUUAAUUCGGUUUUUAUUUAAUUCAGUUUUUACAAUUGCGUUCAAUUUAAUUAUGCUUUUGUUUUAUUUUGCUAUGUCUGGCUAGUUUUCUUUUCUGAUUCUAGGGUUUGUAAAUAGUUAGUUAGAUUUAUGUGAUUUAUUUGUUAAUACCUUUGUGCCUUCCAGUUUAUGAUUCAUAAUUCCUGGUGCUUGAUUUCUUGUGGAUUAUUUGGCCAAUAGUUUGCAUGUUUAGCUAUUCGGUUUGAGACCUAGCGGAGAUAACUGUUUAGCGGAUUCAGGAAUGUAUGAUAUGAUUUUAACCUUGAGACCUAGCGGAGAUAGGUGGAUCAUAGGGAGCUAUUCUUAGGAACUUUUGGGAGUUAGUAGAUUUUCUUGAGACCUAGCGGAGAUAGAUAAUUUACUAAUCUACGGUCGUUGCUGCUCUAGCGAGAGUAAUUGAUUAAUUAAGUGAUCUCUCAUCAUAACUGGAUUAAACUGGUACAUAGGAUUAAUAGAUUUAUUAUGUAGAUUUAAUUAAUGAAUUUACUACCCUAAGAUCAGUUGUCUUUUAUACUUGAUAUUUCCUAAGUGAUUUUAAUUAUUGUUAUUUGCGUUUUAAUUAAUUAAACCGUCCUUCUUUUGUUUGCCUGAAUAUUACUAGAGUUCAAUCAGGAUUACUUAGAGUGAUUCGUUGUAAUAGUCCCUGUGGAUACGAUACUCGGUUACUUGUUAUAUGUGCUACAAUUGCACCGUGUUAGUUGCGGUAAUUUGUUGCUAAUAAUUUAGUGAUCAAGUAUUUUUUAAGUGGUGGGGUAUUGUCCCAAAAUAGGAAAAAGUAGGAAGUUCUUUCGUGGACGUCCCGAAAUAGAAAAAUAGGAAGUUCUUUCGUGGACGGAGGGAGUAUAAUUUAAUUUUCCACUUUUGUGUGGAUAGUGGUUCCGUCUGUGUGCGGUUGUUUUUUCACCUUUGUGUGAUGUAGAGGUCUUACCUGCGUGCGAGUUACUUAUUUGAUUAUAUAUUGGAUACAUAUUGUAAUUCUUAAAAAAAUUAUAAAGUACUAUAAUAACACCCACCAUAUAUAUUUGUUUUUUUUAUAAUUUAACAGUAUUAAAUAAAGAAAUUUAAAGGUUGUGCCACAUGGAAUUCAAACCCAAACCCUUUAGUCUUUAGGUAUUAAUCCCUUACCGCUUUGCCAACACACGCACACCAUAUGUUAAAUUUAGAAAAUUGCUCUAAUUUUGAAACAAAGUGAGGAAUUUUUGGUUCAUUAGCCCCUUGAUAGACAAACAUUAUGUCCAAUACACAAUUAUUAAGCUUAAAAAGAAAGGGGGGAAAAUUUCCCAUUGCACUGAGAAUGGGAAUUUCCAAAAACCCUAGGGACUGCCCACUUGCGGCAUUUUGGUGGCCACAAAAUUAGCGCAUCUCAAAUUUCACGUCAAACAAUGGGCGGUGAUGCAGCGCAAGCAGCUAUUCGGAAAAAACCCCAUCCCAAAUUACACCCCACUUCCACCGCCGCCCCGGCCGCCGCCGCUAUCGCUACUUCCCCGUAGGCUCCACGGUCGAGGUGCAGACCGACGAGGAGGAUUUCAAGGGCGUCUUUUUCUCCGCCACCGUUCUCGCGCCGCCGAAUUCACCGAAGAAGAUCGGCCGGAAGAGGUCGAGGAAGCUCUACGUGGAGUACCACAACCUGCUUGCGCACGAGGACGGCUCGGAUCGGCUUAGGGAAUACGUCGAGCCGUCGUUCGUGAGGCCCGCGCCGCCGCUGCAGGAGGUCGUCAAGGGUUUCGAUCCGGACGACGCGGUGGACGCCUUCUACAAGGACGGCUGGUGGACGGG
rnacentral:lncRNA from 1 species